rnacentral:rRNA from 1 species
UCUAAGCACGAAACUUGCCCCGAGAUGAGUUCUCCCUGACUCCYUGAGAGUCCUGAAGGAACGUUGAAGACGACGACGUUGAUAGGCCGGGUGUGUAAGCGCAGCGAUGCGUUGAGCUAACCGGUACUAAUGAACCGUGAGGCUUAACCUUACAACGCCGAAG